AGAGUUUGAUCCUGGCUCAGAAUCAACGCUGGCGGCGUGCCUAACACAUGCAAGUCGAGCGAGAAAGUGGUAGCAAUACCAUGAGUAAAGCGGCGCACGGGUGAGUAACACGUGACUAACCUACCCUGGAGUGGGGAAUAACUGAGGGAAACCUUAGCUAAUACCGCAUAAUACCCACGGGUCAAAGGAGCAAUUCGCUCUGGGAGGGGGUCGCGGCCGAUUAGUUAGUUGGCGGGGUAACGGCCCACCAAGACGAUGAUCGGUAUCCGGCCUGAGAGGGCGCACGGACACACUGGAACUGAAACACGGUCCAGACUCCUACGGGAGGCAGCAGUGGGGAAUUUUGCGCAAUGGGGGAAACCCUGACGCAGCAACGCCGCGUGGAGGAUGAAGUCCUUCGGGACGUAAACUCCUUUCGAUCGGGACGAUUAUGACGGUACCGGAAGAAGAAGCCCCGGCUAACUUCGUGCCAGCAGCCGCGGUAAUACGAGGGGGGCGAGCGUUGUUCGGAAUUAUUGGGCGUAAAGGGUGCGUAGGCGGUUUGGUAAGUCUUGUGUGAAAUCUCCAGGCUCAACUUGGAGUCUGCACGAGAAACUGCCGGGCUGGAGUGUGGGAGAGGUGAGUGGAAUUUCCGGUGUAGCGGUGAAAUGCGUAGAUAUCGGAAGGAACACCUGUGGCGAAAGCGGCUCACUGGACCAUAACUGACGCUGAUGCACGAAAGCUAGGGGAGCAAACAGGAUUAGAUACCCCCGUAGUCC
rnacentral:rRNA from 1 species